GCCAGCCUUUGAUCUUCGCACCAGAUCAGACUAAGCUGAGAGCUGGUCAGUCCUCCAGCCUCACUUCUGAAGAAUCUGUUGGCUCUGCUUCUUCCACGGGGCCUUGUCCAGGUUUUGUAUUUGUUUAGAGGUUAUUUUUAGCUGGCUGGACCAGUGUUUGAGGUAAAUCGUGUGGGUACUUAUGCAGCAUUAUUUUUUUAAAUGAUCAUGACUAUUUUCAACUGGGUAUAAGUUCUUAGGCAGAAACAUUUCCUUUUUAAGGCGCCGUUUUUCUGGCAGUUAAGAAGACUAAUCUGAAAGAUUAGCCAAAAUAGCUGCUUGUUGAAUUGCUUGAGUCCGGGAAAGACGGGCGCUGCUUCUGUUGAAGACGCUCGCUGGGGUGAAAAGGAAGGAGAGACCGAGGAUUGCUGUGGAUGCCAGACUCCUCACCACAUCCUGAUACGCCACUUCUUGCUUCCAGGGAAGAGUACCUGGGAUUUAGACUGGUAAACAAGUCAACUCUUGGUUGUCAGUGAUGGCCGGGGACAAGGAUGAUGCAUAAGUAAACAGCCGCACUAUUCACAAUAGUCUGGACAUGGAGACAAUCUAAACGUCCCUCGACCUACGAAUGGACAGAGAAGACAUGGUGCGCAUAUCAGCAGAAUACACUACUCAGCCACGAAAAGAACGACAUACUGCCACUGGCAGCCACGUGGGUGCAACUAACGAUGAUCAUACUAAGUGAAGUAAGUCGGAAAGAGAAAGACAAAUAACAUGUGAUAUCACUUAUAUGCGGAAUCUACACUAUAACACGGAUGAAGGUAAGGUAAGUCACUUCAG